AGUGAACGCUGGCGGUAGGCCUAACACAUGCAAGUCGAACGGCAGCACAGUAAGAGCUUGCUCUUACGGGUGGCGAGUGGCGGACGGGUGAGGAAUACAUCGGAAUCUACUUUUUCGUGGGGGAUAACGUAGGGAAACUUACGCUAAUACCGCAUACGACCUACGGGUGAAAGCAGGGGAUCUACGGACCUUGCGCGAUUGAAUGAGCCGAUGUCGGAUUAGCUAGUUGGCGGGGUAAAGGCCCACCAAGGCGACGAUCCGUAGCUGGUCUGAGAGGAUGAUCAGCCACACUGGAACUGAGACACGGUCCAGACUCCUACGGGAGGCAGCAGUGGGGAAUAUUGGACAAUGGGCGCAAGCCUGAUCCAGCCAUACCGCGUGGGUGAAGAAGGCCUUCGGGUUGUAAAGCCCUUUUGUUGGGAAAGAAAAGCAGCAGGCUAAUACCCCGCUGUUCUGACGGUACCCAAAGAAUAAGCACCGGCUAACUUCGUG
rnacentral:rRNA from 1 species